rnacentral:rRNA from 1 species
CCUUCAAGGGAGGCGCAGGCGCGCAAUUACCCAAUCCUGACUCAGGGAGGUAGUGACAAGAAAUAACAAUAAACCGGCUUAUGCCGGUUUAAUUGGAAUGAGUACAAUUUAAACAUCUUAACGAGGAACAAUUGGAGGGCAAGUCUGGUGCCAGCAGCCGCGGUAAUUCCAGCUCCAAUAGCGUAUACUAAAGUUGUUGCAGUUAAAAAGCUCGUAGUUGGAUUUCUGUGGGGACGGAGCGGCCGGCCGCACAUCGCGGUUCGAGCUAGCGCUUUCCCUACAUCCUGCCGCGAACCGUGCUACCAUUAGUUUGGUGGCGCCGGGGAUCGGCUCGAUUACUUUGAGAAAAAUAGAGUGUUCAAAGCAGGCCACAUGCCUUGAAUAAGUUAGCAUGGAAUAAUAACUAAGGACUUCGGUUCUAUUUUGUUGGUGUUCGGGACUGAAGUAAUGAUUGAUAGGGACAGUUGGGGCGGUCUGUAUUCCAAAGCGAGAGGUGAAAUUCUUAGACCUUCGGAAGACAAACAGCUGCGAAAGCGUUCCGCAAGGAUGUUCCCUUUGAUCAAGAACGAAAGUUGGGGGAUCGAAGACGAUCAGAUACCGUCGUAGUCUCAACUAUAAACUAUACCAGCUAGGGAUCGGCCAACGUUAUUUUAUACCGACUUGGUCGGCACCUUAUGAGAAAUCAAAGCAUCUGGGUUCCGGGGGGAGUAUGGUCGCAAGGCUGAAACUUAAAGGAAUUGACGGAAGGGCACCACCAGCCGUGGAGCCUGUGGCUUAAUUUGACUCAACACGGGAAAACUUACCAGGUCCAGACAUAGUAAGGAUUGACAGAUUGAUAGCUCUUUCUUGAUUCUGUGGGUGGUGGUGCAUGGCCGUUCUUAGUUGGUGGAGUGAUUUGUCUGGUUAAUUCCGUUAACGAACGAGACCCCAGCCUGCUAAAUAGCGCGCGUGAGCUUUGCUCGCGGCGAGCUUCUUAGAGGGACUAUGAUGCGCGAUAGCACAUGGAAGUUUGGGGCAAUAACAGGUCUGUGAUGCCCUUAGAUGUUCUGGGCCGCACACGGGCUACACUGGCGCCUGCAACGAGCAUAUCAGCUGGCCCGAGAGGGUCUUGGCUAAUCUUUUGAACCGGCGCCGUGCUUGGGAUUGACCUUUGCAAUUGUUGGUCAUGCAACGAGGAAUGCCUUGUAAACGCGAGUCAUCAGCUCGCAUUGAAUACGUCCCUGCCCUUUGUACACACCGCCCGUCGCUCCUACCGAUGAAUGUUCCGAUGAAAUUUUCGGAGAGCACCUGUGAACUUGGCUCUGCCUUGCGAACGGGAGGCUCAAAGUCACU